GGACUACUCGGGUUUCUAAUCCUGUUUGCUCCCCACGCUCUCGCGCCUCAGCGUCAGUAUCUGUCCAGGUAGCCGCCUUCGCCACUGGUGUUCCUUCCGAUCUCUACGCAUUUCACCGCUACACCGGAAAUUCCACUACCCUCUACAGUACUCCAGUUAUCCAGUCAGCGCUGCCAUUCCUAGGUUAAGCCCAGGGAUUUCACAACACUCUUAAAUAACCGCCUACGCGCCCUUUACGCCCAGUCACUCCGAUUAACGCUCGCACCCUCUGUAUUACCGCGGCUGCUGGCAC
rnacentral:rRNA from 2 species